UCCAUCCCCAGCGCGUGGAAUUGCAUCCGGGUGGAGCAGCACCUGGCCGUGGAAAGGACAUUUCAAGAGGAUGCUGAAGCUGAAUGCGGCGUGUUAAAGGGGAAGAGCAGGGACUCAAAAUCCAAAAUUCUGCUGAGACAUAUCAACACGCUGGGAAUGCCUGGAACAGGUAUCUGGAAAGAAGCUCUGCAGACAUUUCCACAAGAAACAAAUUCUCCCAGUGGGUUUACUGAAUUAACCCCACUGAUAUCCAAUAUAAUGUCACUGAUCCUGAGAUAAAAAAUAUAUAAAAAUGCAGCACUGA